rnacentral:rRNA from 1 species
GUAGCUUGCUACUUGCUGACGACCGGCGCACGGGUGCGUAACGCGUAUAGAAUCUACCUUAUACUGGGGGAUAGCCUUUGGAAACGAAGAUUAAUACCCCAUAGUAUGUUUGAAUGGCAUCAUUUGGACAUUAAAGUUUCGGCGGUAUAAGAUGACUAUGCGUUCUAUUAGUUUGUUGGUAAGGUAACGGCUUACCAAGACUACSAUAGAUAGGGGUCCUGAGAGGGAGAUCCCCCACACUGGUACUGAGACACGGACCAGACUCCUACGGGAGGCAGCAGUGAGGAAUAUUGGACAAUGGAGGCAACUCUGAUCCAGCCAUGCCGCGUGUAGGAAGACUGCCCUAUGGGUUGUAAACUACUUUUAUAUGGGAAGAAUAAGGUCUACGUGUAGACUGAUGACGGUACCAUAAGAAUAAGCACCGGCUAACUCCGUGCCAGCAGCCGCGGUAAUACGGAGGGUGCAAGCGUUAUCCGGAAUCAUUGGGUUUAAAGGGUCCGUAGGCGGGCAUAUAAGUCAGUGGUGAAAGUCUGUGGCUCAACCAUAGAAUUGCCAUUGAUACUGUAUGUCUUGAAUUAUUGUGAAGUGGUUAGAAUAUGUAGUGUAGCGGUGAAAUGCUUAGAGAUUACAUAGAAUACCGAUUGCGAAGGCAGAUCACUAACAAUAUAUUGACGCUGAUGGACGAAAGCGUAGGUAGCGAACAGGAUUAGAUACCCUGGUAGUCUACGCCGUAAACGAUGGAUACUAGUUGUUUGGCCUUCGGGCUGAGUGACUAAGCGAAAGUGAUAAGUAUCCCACCUGGGGAGUACGUUC